rnacentral:rRNA from 1 species
GAUGAACGCUAGCGGCAGGCCUAACACAUGCAAGUCGAGGGGGAAGUUACUUUCGGGUGACUGAGACCGGCGUACGGGUGCGUAACGCGUAUACAAUCUGCCUUUCACUGGGGGAUAGCCCGAAGAAAUUUGGAUUAAUACCCCAUAGUAUAUAGGGACGGCAUCGUUUUUAUAUUAAAGCUAGGUGGUGAAAGAUGAGUAUGCGUUCUAUUAGCUAGUUGGAGAGGUAACGGCUCCCCAAGGCGAUGAUAGAUAGGGGUUCUGAGAGGGAUGUCCCCCACACUGGUACUGAGAUACGGACCAGACUCCUACGGGAGGCAGCAGUGAGGAAUAUUGGACAAUGGUCGGAAGACUGAUCCAGCCAUGCCGCGUGCAGGAUGAAGGUCUUAUGGAUUGUAAACUGCUUUUGUAAGGGAAGAAUAAGGGCUACGCGUAGUUUGAUGACGGUACCUUACGAAUAAGCAUCGACUAACUCCGU